rnacentral:lncRNA from 1 species
AUGGAUCGAGCCAAAAACUAUGAAAAUAACGAUGAAAAAGAUCAAGAUUCACUGAAUUCCAGUAGUCUCAACAGUGAACUACAUGAGGAGAAAGAGAAUGAGCUCCUGCUGGACGAAAAAUAUUUUCUACCCUCUGGUCAUCUUGAUUCAUCUGACAUAAGAACUUUUCAGAAGCUCUGUCGUCCCACCAGAUGA